AAAAAGAUAAGCUAAUUAAGCUAUUAGGUUCAUACCCUGCUAAUGAAAGUAAAAUCUUUCUCUUUUUA
rnacentral:tRNA from 1 species